rnacentral:rRNA from 1 species
AUGAACGCUGGCGGCGUGCCUAAUACCUGCCAGUCGAGCGUACGGACGAGAAGCUUGCUUUUCUGUUUUUAUCGGCGUACGGGUGAGUAACUCUUUUAUAACCUACCUAUAUUUCUGUGUUUACUUCGGUAAACCGUAUCUAAUACCGGUUAAUAUUUUGAACCGCUUGGUUCACACUUUCAAUUCGGUCUUGCUUUCUCUUAUAGAUUGAUCCGCGCUGCAUUAGCUAGUUGGUAAGGUAACGGCUUACAAAGGCAACGAUGCAUAGCCGACCUGAGAGGGUGAGAGGCAAAACUGGAACGGAGACACGGACCAGAGGACUACGGGAGGCAGCAGUAGGGAAGAUGCCGCAAUGGGCGAAAGCAUGACGGAGCAAAGCCGAGUGAGUGAAGAAGGUCUUCGGAUCGUAAAACUCUGUUAUUAGGGAAGAAAAAAAGUGUAAGUAAAAGUGCACAUAAUGACGGUAACUAAUAAGAAAGCAACGGCUAACUACGUG